AGCUUUUCUUGCUUUCUUCAACGUAUGAAAUUUUCACUCGUUUUCAUUCAAACUGGGAACAAGUCGAUGGACCAAUUGUUAGCGUGCAUAUUGUACGAACGUGUAUCGGAACGGCCUGGUGAUCAACAGAUGCGCAGUUACGGUCGCGACUUCUUAUACGCGACUGCUUUUUCUAUAUUGCGCUCAAAAUACACGGAACCAACAUUCGCAUGGUAUAAAACUAAUGCAUAGAUCAACGGGGGAUUUCGAAUCGCAAAUCUCUGUCAGGUUGAAAUUUUUAAUGCAAACCAAGGCCGCCGACGUGAGUCACGAUCAGAUGCCCGUGACCGGAGGAUCCAAGGUUCCACCUUCGUCCAGGAUCUUAACCCUUGCAACUGCCACCGAGGGAUAAGCUCCGCUUUCUGAGCCCAGUAAAUCUCGACAAAGGAAAGAGAUCGAGGGCCGUAAAGAGCGCGGCAAGGUUUCCCUGCCUCCCGUCGCGUCGUUACUCCGCAUCCGCAUCCGGACACGUGACCGGCGGCACCUUAGGCACUGAA